CAGUGGGUCCCAGGUCAUGUGGGCCUCCUGUGCCUCAUCAGCUCGGGCGUCUCUGACCUGAUCAGGAAUAGUGGAUAGCCUGUGAUUUGGGACUGCAGAGCUGUACCUUGGAUAAGCCUCCAAAGAGGCACCCCGGCUAGGUCUCCCUUACCGGAGCCUUGAGCGCCACCACCCCUCCUGGCCCCCUGCACUGGAAGCUCUGGAGAAAUGCAACCACACGCCCACAAGCCAGCAGACUGAAGAGGUAAUUUGUCCUGGGCUGGGAACAGAUUUUCUCGCUGGAGUUACAGGCAGGGACCUCAGAGGCCACCAGCUUGGAGGUUCUCGCCCACUGCAAGACCCUGAAGACGAGGAUGGCACCAUUCUGCUCCUCCCACCCCCAGCUCCCUCCACAUCCCAGUCCUUCUCACCAACCCCAGAAAGCACACUGUACACUAAGAGGGAGUGACCCUCCCUCUUGGGUACAGAGAGCUUCGGCCCCCUCUCCAGUCACCCAGGGUGCAGGGGACCUGGGG